GAUUUUUGCAAGUGAGAAUUUAAUAAUGAGGAAAAACACAAGAUGAAAGAGAAAAAUUGGAGAGACCCUUUUAUGAGAGAAAAUUAGAGUUUGGGUCCAUGGAUUCAUAAUAUCUUAACACCUUGGAUUUCAUGGAUAUUUCAAUUAUUUGUACGGAUCCACAUAGACAAAUUUUGCUCAAGUUGAUGUAAUUGUGGAGAGCACCCGAAGUGUCAUCAUCCCAACUUCAUUUAGAUGCAGAAAAAGAGAUUUUGGCUCUCUUCUUCGGCGGAGCAUGGCAUAUAUUACAAGAAGCAGAGAUUCUUUGGAGUCGUGUUGGAGAGAGCUUAAACACGCAAUGUCAUUUUCAAGUAAGUCAAUUGAAUAAGGGCUGAGGGUUGAUGAAAAUGGAGGGGGAAGAGGGGGAUAGUUCACAAUAUUCACUGGUGCAGGGCACCCAUUUUAGCUGUUUGAUUUUUUAAGGUUGCAUCAGGAGAGGAUCUUGCUUCAGAAUAUUCGGUGGUGAGGUUGAGGUUGAUUAAAUGUUUUCAUUAUUUAUAGACGAAUAACAACAUAUUAACACUAAUGGGGAUGUGAAUUUGUUACCAUUACAGAUGAUGGUGAUGUUAAUAAAACCUGAUUGUUAUCCUUGUUUCUAGGUAAGUAGUUACUGCACAUCAAGGACUUAGUAACUAAAAAUUAUGGGUUUAUUUAGUUUAUAUUUUUUCUCUACUUGUUAAGAGUUCUAUUGUGAGUCUUAUUACGUCAGUGCCUAGCUUUUUGUUUUUCUAUUAUGUAAAAGCCUAUAUAAAUAGGCUCUUGGAUUGUGAAUUAUUUUACUCAUCAUUUUAUUUUUCUCUUUCCUUUUUUAUUUUCAUCUUGUUGUUAUCUCUCUGAGUAAGUUAACAGUGGUGCCAAAGCUAGUCAAAAGAAGAGUAUUUUCGGUGAGAGGAAAAAGUUGGUGGUCCUCCUAUGGCUUCUGAAAAUUUUGUGCAGCCAGCUAUUCCACGUUUUGAUGGUCACUAUGAUCAUUGGAUCAUGUUGAUGGAGAACUUCUUACGGGCAUGUGUGAGGCCCUGUGGGCCACACGAGCUGGCCAAUUGGGCUGUGUGGACCCACUUUUUGAAAAAAUUCACCUAGGUCCGUUUCACUCUAAAAUUUGUAAUUAGACUUUUCGUAGGGCCAUACUACUUAAUUAAGGCUUGGAAACAAUGUAUUUGUUAAUAUGCUUCUAUGUAUGAUGUGUUUAAGGUA